rnacentral:rRNA from 1 species
CAUGUCUUUUUGAGAAUAAUUUAAGGUUUAAUCUGCCCAGUGAAUGUUUUAACGGCCGCGGUAUUUUGACUGUGCUAAGGUAGCGUGAUAAUUAGUUUCUUAAUUGGAAACUGGUAUGAAGGAUUGGACGAGAAGAGAGCUGUCUCGGUGGAGAUUUAAUUGAAUUUAAUUUUUAAGUUAAAAGACUUAAUUGUUUUUAGAGGACGAGAAGACCCUAUAGAGUUUAAAAUUUAAUUUAUUAUUUGUUAUUUGGAAUUUUUAAGUCUUAAUUGGUUUAAAUUUUUGGUUGGGGUGAUUAAAAGAUUUAUUUAACUCUUUUUUUUUCAACAGUAAUUUCUGGAUAAAGGAUCUAUUUUUUAUAAUUGAAAGACUAAAUUACCUUAGGGAUAACAGCGUAAUUUUCUAUAAAGUUCUUAUUAAAUUUAAAGAUUGCGACCUCGAUGUUGGAUUAAAAUUGGUGAUUGGUGCAUUAGCUUAUACACUAAGUCUGUUCGACUUUUAAAAUUUUACAUGAUCUGAGU